UGGGGAAUAUUGCACAAUGGGCGCAAGCCUGAUGCAGCGACGCCGCGUGAGGGAUGACGGCCUUCGGGUUGUAAACCUCUUUCACCAGGGGCGAAUUAGGACGGUACCUGGAGAAGAAGCACCGGCCAACUACGUGCCAGCAGCCGCGGUAAUACGUAGGGUGCGAGCGUUGUCCGGAAUUACUGGGCGUAAAGAGCUCGUAGGCGGUUUGUCGCGUCGUUCGUGAAAACUUGAUGCUUAACAUCAAGCGUGCGGGCGAUACGGGCAGACUUGAGUACUACAGGGGAGACUGGAAUUCCUGGUGUAGCGGUGAAAUGCGCAGAUAUCAGGAGGAACACCGGUGGCGAAGGCGGGUCUCUGGGUAGUAACUGACGCUGAGGAGCGAAAGCGUGGGUAGCGAACAGG
rnacentral:rRNA from 2 species